UACGUAGGGGGCAAGCGUUGUCCGGAUUUAUUGGGCGUAAAGAGCGUGUAGGCGCCAGGUAGGUCCGCUGUGAAAACUCGAGGCUUAACCUCGAGAUGUCGGUGGAAACCAUCUGGCUAGAGUCCGGAAGAGGAGAGUGGAAUUCCUGGUGUAGCGGUGAAAUGCGCAGAUAUCAGGAAGAACACCCGUGGCGAAGGCGGCUCUCUGGGACGGUACUGACGCUGAGACGCGAAAGCGUGGGGAGCGAACAGG
rnacentral:rRNA from 1 species